UGGCUCAGUGGUAGAGUGCUUGCUUUGCAUGCAUGAGGCCUUGGGUUCAAUUCCUUA
rnacentral:tRNA from 1 species